GUUCGGUUAGCGUAAUGGCAACGCGUCAGUUUCCGGUCGGCGGAGCAUACUGAAGAUUGCGGGUUCGAGUCCCGUGCUGAACU
rnacentral:tRNA from 1 species